UACGUAGGAGGCAAGCGUUGUCCGGAAUUACUGGGCGUAAAGCGCGUGUAGGUGGUGGGACAAGUCUGCUGUGAAAGCGCCUGGCUUAACCGGGCGAGGUCGACGGAAACUGUUCGACUCGAGGACGGUAGAGGGGGGUGGAAUUCCCGGUGUAGUGGUGAAAUGCGUAGAGAUCGGGAGGAACACCUGUGGCGAAGGCGGCCCCCUGGGCCGGCCCUGACACUGAGACGCGAAGGCGUGGGGAGCGAACGGG
rnacentral:rRNA from 1 species